AGCUGCGGUGUCCGAGUGGUUAAGGAGAUGGACUUGAAAUCCAUUGGGUUCUACCCGCACAGGUUCGAAUGCUGUCCGCAGC
rnacentral:tRNA from 1 species